GCAGCCAGGCUUCCCCCACAAAGAGCCAGCCUCCCCAGGCACGCAGAAAGCAUGAACAUCUGGAUGUUCCCCUUGCUUUCGGCUCAGCUGGGAGGCUCACUGAGGCUGUGUGCCAGGAUGAGCUGGCACCUGAUGGGCACGACGAAGGGACAGACCAGCUCCAGGGGGCGUCCCAGACCCGCCUGGUCCCGGGCAGGCUCCAGGGAGAAGAGAGCCGAGCAGGCCACGCAGACGCACAGACCCCUCCUUCCACCCGGGAUGUUUGUCUCUGUUUCCACAGAGCCUCAGAUGACUUCUGGGGACCUUUGUUUCCUUCUCCAGCUCUGGGCCCUCUUCCUUUCCGGGCAUUCCCCUUCUUUCCUGUGACCCCAUCGUCCCUCACUAGCACCCAGAGACUGAGAAGCACAAGAAGCUCAACAUGGACAAAGAAGCCAGUUAACCCUUGCGGGCUUGAAGAUGGGUCUGCCCCGUCUCUAACUCCAGUGAGCCAUGUGACCUGGGGCCUGUUACCUAACCUCACCAUCCCUCACUUUCCUUACUUGCAAAAGAGAGGCAAAAACAUCUGCCUGACAGAGCAAGUCUAAGGAAUGAAUGCAUGAAAAGUGCACAGCAUCUUGUGGGCCUCACUUUACGCAUUUCGGCCAUUGCUUCUUGCCUCAUCUCCUUCAUGCCUGGGUAUAGGCAUUCUGUUUAGAAGCAACCCUUUGUUCUACCUUCUGUCCUUCCCACAGGCACCAGCUGCCCCAAGGAUAUUUGAAAGGAUCGUUCUCAUUACCACUCUUUCCUUUGAUUUUACCUUUAUUGAAUACCAGACUCAAGAGUUGGAAGGAUCCUUUAAGAUCCACUCAUCUAUUCAUCCAACAAAUAUUUACAAAAUGUCUACUGCAUGUCAAGUACUGUUCCAGGCUCUGGAAUAGAGAUGUGAACAAAAUACACAGACCCUGGCUCUUAUGGUGCUUAACCUGUGGGCAGGCAUUGAACAGUAGAACAAUACAUUACAUGUAGGACAACAAACUUGUCUCAGUUUGACCAAGACUUGCCUAGGUUUAGCAAUAAAGUCCUACAUCCUGCGACUGUAUCCUCAGUCCUGCCAAACUGGGAAGGUGGGUCACUCUAAUUACAAAUAUGAUGAAAGGAAAAGCUCCUGCGAAUGCUUUCAACUAGAGACCUGACCCUGGCUUUGGGAGAGCUGAAGCAAGGACGUUGCCACAAAGGGUUUACUUAUGAAGACAAUCCUUGGGCUAUGCUCCAAGGAGAACUGAUGGGAAGCGGGAUGCAGAGGCCAGGUAAGAAAGUCCUCUAAGGGCCAGGUGAUGGUGGCUUGGGCAUGGAUGGAGAGUGCUCCUGGAGUAGAGCGGACAGGACAGGCCCAGACCGGUUAGAAGGCUGCCUCCCAGGUUCCUGGUGGAAGCACUUUGAUAGGUGACAGGAUCAGUUACUGAGAAGGAAAAGCCUAGCUCAGCAAGUCAAAGUUGUCACAGCGUCUGUGCCGCAGGCCCUGUGCCACCGGCAGGGCCUGCUCAGAUGACUAAGGCAUGGCACCCACUCUCCCGACAAUCACAGGUUAUAGAUGAGCACGGACAUACCCGCACAUCACAAUAUAGUGUGGGAAGAGCCAGACUAGACGCAUUUCUCAGAACGUAGCUCCAUUGUUAAGCGAUGCGUGACGGUAUGGACAUAUAUAAGAGGAGAUUUGUUAUAGGAAUUGGCUCACGCAGUUAUGGAGGCUGGGAGGUUCUACCAUGUGCCAUCUGCAAGUGGCGGAGCCAGGAGCACUGCUGGUGUGAUUCAGUCCAAGUGCCAAGGCCUGAGAAUCAGGGGCCGAGGGUGUGAGUCCUGGCCUGAGGCGGAAAGCUGGAGAGCCCGGAGCGCGGAUGUCUGAGGGCAGGAGAAGACAGAUGUGUCAGCUCAAGCAGGGAGUGAAUUCACCCUUCCUCCAUCUAUUCGGGCCCUCAACAGACUGGGGGAUGCCCAUCCACACUGGGGAGGGCCAUCUGCUUUACUGAGUUCACCAAUUCAAAUGCCUCUGAAACAGCCCCACAGACACACCCAGAAAUAAUGUUUUCCCAGCUCUCUGGGCAUCCCUUAGCCCAGUCAAGUUGACGCAUCACACCUCCCCUGACCCCUGAGGUGCAGCCAUUUGCUUCAUGGAACAUGGAUUAUUGAGUCAGUAAGUAUCAGGCACUGGGGACACAUCAACAAAGACAGACAGACAGACAAGACAAACAACUAGUCACUUCUUUCAUUAAAGCAUAUUAUCUAGGACAAAAAUUUUUAACAUGGAUUCCUAGGAGCCUCAGUUUUCGGUAGUUUCUCCAAGGCCUUCGUGACCUGAGAAAGCUCAUAAGCACAGUGGAGUCUGGCUAACGGAGCUCGAAUCCCAGCUGUCCCACUUCACAGCAACGUGACUCUGGGCGACAUCUCAGCCCUCCCGUGCCUCUAUUUCUUCGUGGGAACAAUGGUCACACUGACCUCACGGGAAUGUCGUAAGGAUUCGGGGGCGCUGCACACAGAGCCUUCAGAAUUGGGCUUGGCCUCGCAGGAAGCACUACGUGAGUGUUGACAUAAUUUUAAAAUCAACUUUAUUGAGAUACAAUUUUUUUACAACAUAGUGAUUCGACAUUAUCGAUGUAUAAUUUAUGCGCAGGAAACUGCACGCCUGUAAAUUGUGCGGUGGGAUGGGCUUUGACAGUGGUGUUCACAUGGCGGAGCACUGCCACAUCAAGAGGCAGCUUCACCUUACUGUGUUUAUUUCCACUUCGUGGUAUUGCUGUGGGAAGUCAUGGGCCUUCCAAACAGUGCUGGGCAUGUAAUACACACUCAGGAAAUGUGAGCUGUUUUUAUCAUUAUCAUUAGCUAUGAAAAGUCACUCAUUGGGAAGAGUUACCUAGAAGCUCAGACAAAAAAGGAAGCUCCAAUGUAGGGCCGGAAAACAGCUGAAGGCUCCUCUGAGAAAGUGCUCGUGUAGUCCAGCCAGGCAGCAGAAGGAGAGUGUCAUGCGUGGUCUGAUCUGCCUCCUGUUUGGGCCCCAAAGGUCUCUGAACUUGACCCCUUCCUAAAGUCAGACGCACACACGGAGGGUGAUCGCCAGGAUUCUCAGAAGCAUGCUGCUCCUUGGCCAGUCGAGGGUCUCAGAGGGGGAAAGCAGCCCCAGGGACAGGACCAGAGAGGUCAUCGUCGAGAGAGAAACCCCUUUCCUUCCGCAGCGUUGGUGGAGCUGCCAGAUCGCUGCCUCCCGUCUGCAGUCCCAGCUUCACGUUGUAACAAAAUCGUGCCAAAAAAGCCAACAGUGUCGACUCCCAGGAAAACAAACACUAGAAGUAAUUUUGUCAGGGCGGGAGCCUUGCAGAGGCUGGCUGCGCUGAUGGAUAAGGUAUCUAUUCACCUUUCAUAAAUGUCAGAUGGGAAAUAAAAAAGAAAGGAUAAUGAGGUCUCAUUUCCACAGAAGCAAGUGUGUGCCUCCAGACUAACCGCUAUACCGCUAACGAACAUGCUGUUGAGAUGCUUCCGCUGCGAUUGUCGGAGGCGCAAAGAGCCUGAGCUCAAAGGACCUGAUUUUCUUCCCCUCCUCUGCUCCUUUUAAAAUAUUUUAAAUGGCCCGAUGAUUCAACAUCUGUGCAUUCAUUCAGCACACAUCUGAAUAAUGCCCACUGUGUGCAAGGCACUCCAUCAGGGCUGGGGGGCAGCCUACCGGGCUGUUUUGUGAAGAGGCGAGGCUCUGGCGCCCAACAAGUUAGGAUUUGAAUUUUGCCCUCAUCACCUGACACGUGGCUGUAAAUGCUGCAAACCUCAACUGACUCAUGCAUCACGUAAAAUGGAGAUAACACCACCGUGUGUUGUGUCUUCCAGGAGACAGACUAAAGCGACAUUCAAUCAAACUCAAGUUCGGUGGAGCGCCUCCUCUUUAUGGAAGCCCGAUCUACAGGCUGAGAGAGACGGAAGAGGAGAAAAAAGCAUGGUCUUGUCUUCACUGCAGAAAACACUCUAGAAUGUUAAACACGAGGGGGACAAAGCUCUCCCUUCCCCUCUAUGCCAGGAUCAUGGCCUCCUUCAGCUUGUCUCUGCCUGUCUCUUUCCAGUUCCUCUCAAGAUGAGAAGUUGUUGUUUAAGGCAAUUGAAGGCUCCAUUUCUUGGAGGGUGUGGUCGCCAUGUUAAAAAGGUGUUGGGCCUUGCCCAGCCUUUCUUUCCUGUCAUCUUCCCGCAGUGGACAGAGGACAACCGUCUGCCUCCGUCCCUCCACAUGCAUGCUGGAGUGUCCUGCUCCUUUUGCAGGUCCCUGUACCGAGCAGCGGUCCAGGAGGCAGUCAGAGGUGCUGAUUUGGAUUCUCAGCCCAAAGUCCAGGGCUGUGAUGUCAGUAGGAGAACACUUUACAACCUCAAGAGUCUGAAGACAUGCGCUCUCACCCCAAAUUUCCAGAAACUCAAUGUUAAAGAGCAUCCUUCCAGCCAUCUGCUCUCUCCCGGCCCUCGUGUCAUGUGAGUCAUCGAGAUGACUAAUGUUACACCGUGAUAAGUAGCAUUAUCCUAAAUGUACCCUGUGAGGGCGUCAACUGAGCAAACAUCAAGAGAGAAUCAUUGCUUCAGGUUUUGCCCUGGAAACUGUCACUUAGCGCUUAUACAGAUCAGUGGCUACUAGCUUCCAAGCAAGCUCAGACAUUUGGUCUUAGAUAUUUAGACGAUUAAAAAGGGGAAAUUAAUUAAUUUCCUUUCCUAAGAAAGAAAACUUACAAGGAGGAGAAGGAAGAAAAAGAAAAAAAAGUGGUUCUGGG
rnacentral:lncRNA from 1 species